rnacentral:rRNA from 1 species
UACGUAGGGUGCGAGCGUUACUCGGAAUUACUGGGCGUAAAGCGUGCGCAGGCGGCGCGUUAAGACAGGUGUGAAAGCCCCGAGCUUAACUUGGGAAUUGCGCUUGAGACUGGCGAGCUGGAGUGUGGCAGAGGGAGGUGGAAUUCCACGUGUAGCAGUGAAAUGCGUAGAGAUGUGGAGGAACACCGAUGGCGAAGGCAGCCUCCUGGGCCAGCACUGACGCUCAUGCACGAAAGCGUGGGGAGCAAACAGG